rnacentral:misc_RNA from 1 species
GAUGAAGAACGUAGCGAAAUGCGAUAAGUAAUGUGAAUUGCAGAAUUCAGUGAAUCAUCGAAUCUUUGAACGCGCAUUGCGCCCGCCAGCAUUCUGGCGGGCAUGCCUGUUCGAGCGUCAUUUCAACCCUCAAGCUCUGCUUGGUGUUGGGGCCCUACGGUUGACGUAGGCCCUUAAAGGUAGUGGCGGACCCUCUCGGAGCCUCCUUUGCGUAGUAACUAACGUCUCGCAUUGGGAUUCGGAGGGACUCUUGCCGUAAAACCCCCAAAUUUUCUAAUGGUUGACCUCGGAUCAGGUAGGAAUACCCGCUGAACUUAAGCAUAUCAAUAAGCGGAGGA